rnacentral:misc_RNA from 1 species
GAAGGAAAGGUUGGAGUGAAAGAAGUGCAGAAAUGAAUAUUUCUCAAUUUGCUUGAAAAUACCUUGUUUAAUUCCAUAAAUGUCAUGCUAAUUCCCUUGUUCAGUUUUGAAUGCUUAGUGCAAGUUAGAUUUGUGUUUCUCUAAUUUAUGAUUCUUAUCCAUGAUAGAUAUUAUUAAUUCUGAUAAUCCUCAGUUCUUAUUUGAGUCUCCAUGAAUUGCAGAACUCUGCUGUUAAGAACACAAAUGAUUUGCACUUCCAUUUCUCUUUUUGGGCAUAUUUGUCUGGUCUCUAGUUGUUAUCAAACUCAGAAAUGUCAUGGUUGAAAUGUGAAGCUUUUAAUUUAUUAUUAUUAUUAUUA